rnacentral:rRNA from 1 species
CCUACGGGGGGCAGCAGUGAGGAAUAUUGGUCAAUGGGCGAGAGUCUGAACCAGCCAAGUAGCGUGAAGGAUGACUGCCCUAUGGGUUGUAAACUUCUUUUAUAUGGGAAUAAAAUGUUCCACGUGUGGGUUUUUGUAUGUACCUUAUGAAUAAGGAUCGGCUAACUCCGUGCCAGCAGCCGCGGUAAUACGGAGGAUCCGAGCGUUAUCCGGAUUUAUUGGGUUUAAAGGGAGCGUAGGUGGAUUGUUAAGUCAGUUGUGAAAGUUUGCGGCUCAACCGUAAAAUUGAAGUUGAAACUGGCAGUCUUGAGUACAGGAGAGGUGGGCGGAAUU